AGAAUCAACGCUGGCGGCGUGCCUAACACAUGCAAGUCGAACGAGAAAGUGGGAGCAAUCCCACGAGUAAAGUGGCGCACGGGUGAGUAACACGUGGCUAACCUACCCUUGAGUGGGGGAUAACCUAGGGAAACCUGGGCUAAUACCGCAUAAUACCUACGGGUCAAAGGAGCAAUUCGCUUAAGGAGGGGUCGCGGCAGAUUAGUUAGUUGGCGGGGUAAUGGCCCACCAAGACAGUGAUCUGUAU
rnacentral:rRNA from 1 species